UUAGAGUUUGAUCCUGGCUCAGGAUGAACGCUAGCGGCAGGCUUAACACAUGCAAGUCGAGGGGCAACGAGAUCAGUGCUUGCACUGAUUGUCGGCGACCGGCGCACGGGUGCGUAACGCGUAUGCAACCUACCCAUUACAGGGGGAUAACACUGAGAAAUCGGUACUAAUACCCCAUAACAUCCAGGGAGGCAUCUUCUUGGGUUGAAAACUCCGGUGGUAAUGGAUGGGCAUGCGUUGUAUUAGUUAGUUGGUGGGGUAACGGCUCACCAAGACAACGAUACAUAGGGGGACUGAGAGGUUAACCCCCCACAUUGGUACUGAGACACGGACCAAACUCCUACGGGAGGCAGCAGUGAGGAAUAUUGGUCAAUGGACGCAAGUCUGAACCAGCCAUGCCGCGUGCAGGAAGACGGCUCUAUGAGUUGUAAACUGCUUUUGUACGAGGGUAAACGCAGAUACGCGUAUCUGUCUGAAAGUAUCGUACGAAUAAGGAUCGGCUAACUCCGUGCCAGCAGCCGCGGUAAUACGGAGGAUUCAAGCGUUAUCCGGAUUUAUUGGGUUUAAAGGGUGCGUAGGCGGUCGGAUAAGUUAGAGGUGAAAUCCCGGGGCUCAACUUCGGAAUUGCCUCUGAUACUGUUCGGCUAGAGAGUAGUUGCGGUAGGCGGAAUGUAUGGUGUAGCGGUGAAAUGCUUAGAGAUCAUACAGAACACCGAUUGCGAAGGCAGCUUACCAAGCUACUUCUGACGUUGAGGCACGAAAGCGUGGGGAGCAAACAGGAUUAGAUACCCUGGUAGUCCACGCAGUAAACGAUGAUAACUCGUUGUCGGCGAUACAGUGUCGGUGACUAAGCGAAAGCGAUAAGUUAUCCACCUGGGGAGUACGUUCGCAAGAAUGAAACUCAAAGGAAUUGACGGGGGCCCGCACAAGCGGAGGAACAUGUGGUUUAAUUCGAUGAUACGCGAGGAACCUUACCCGGGCUUGAAAGUUAGUGACGGAUCUUGAAAGAGGUCUUCCCUUCGGGGCACGAAACUAGGUGCUGCAUGGUUGUCGUCAGCUCGUGCCGUGAGGUGUCGGGUUAAGUCCCAUAACGAGCGCAACCCCUACCGUUAGUUGCCAGCAGGUCAAGCUGGGCACUCUGACGGGACUGCCGGUGUAAGCCGAGAGGAAGGUGGGGAUGACGUCAAAUCAGCACGGCCCUUACGUCCGGGGCUACACACGUGUUACAAUGGCAGGUACAGAGGGCAGCUACCCAGCGAUGGGAUGCGAAUCUCGAAAGCCUGUCUCAGUUCGGAUUGGAGGCUGAAACCCGCCUCCAUGAAGUUGGAUUCGCUAGUAAUCGCGCAUCAGCCAUGGCGCGGUGAAUACGUUCCCGGGCCUUGCACUCACCGCCCGUCAAG
rnacentral:rRNA from 1 species